UACGUAGGGUGCAAGCGUUGUCCGGAAUUAUUGGGCGUAAAGGGCUCGUAGGCGGUCCAUCACGUCGGGAGUGAAAAGCUGGGGCUUAACCCCAGUCCUGCUUCCGAUACGGGUGGACUAGAGGUAGGCAGGGGAGAACGGAAUUCCUGGUGUAGCGGUGAAAUGCGUAAAUAUAUGGAGGAACACCAGUGGCGAAGGCGGCUCACUGGGCCAAUACUGACGCUGAGGCACGAAAGCGUGGGGAGCAAACAGG
rnacentral:rRNA from 1 species